AUGUUUUUACCUGCUCAUCUGAUGGCUGAGCCCUUCUCGGCUUCCACUUUGAUUUCUAGGGUCUUCUCAGGCCCCAGCAUCCUAGCCAUCUUGUCACUUACUCAUGCUGACUCCAGGUUUUGUUGUUUUAAACAAUUUGAAGUCCAGCCUUCUUCAGCCAGUUUGAAGGGAAGCCUGCUGUGACAGAAGGCAGGAGGAUGCCCCCUUUGCCUCCCCAACUCUGGCAUUUUCUUCCCAGGUUUCUGAAUAAAGCUGAGAAGUGGAAUCCAUUCCAAAGGUGGUCAGCUUGGGUCUGCUAGAGGCUUGACUCCUCCAGGAGAAGAGGUAACACCUGGGGGCCCUGUCUUCACCCAUUUGGGACUAUGAAUCCCAGAUUCUUCUAAAUUUCAUAUUCUGCCACUUGGCACAGAGUGUGUCAGGUCCGAAGUCCUAUGUGAGUGAAUCAGCUUCAGCAAAGAGAGGAAUCACUUGCUUAUCUGAUGAGUCUCAGCUAGGAGAUGUCCAGGAAGCAGCCGUCCCUCUACCUAAUUCCUCCCUGGUUUCUCUUCCCACCUAUAACAGGGGUGGGGAUGUGGCUGCAGCUCAUCCGGCAUGACUGAGAAGCAAGGUCCUGAUCUUUCUGUCCAGCACCACAGUGAAAAGGCCCAGUGGUCUGCAUUGUAGAAUAGGAAACAAAGUGUGCAAAAUCAAAACACCAGCAUGGCCAGUGUGGCAUGUUUACAACACAGAAUGGCACUUCCCCAAAGCAUGCCCUCAGCGUGAGGGGGUUGGCGCUGCUCCUCAUGGGCAGACAGAGAACUGGCUUUCAUUCUACCAACGUGACUUUCAGAUUGCUGGCCUCGCUUAAAGCCCACUUGUGUCAGAGUGCUCAUAAAUUAGGGCUCAGAUAAAGAUCUUCUUUUUACUAAGCACUUCCUGGUUUCAACACUGCUCAGCUCUCUAAGUUCCUCUCCCUGAAGGUGGUUGAGGAACUGCUGGGACUAUGGCCCCCAAAGCAUUCUUCAGUCAGAAAGAGGGUAAGAGUGGAAGUAGGUGCCCCUGAGGCCUUCUGUCCUCUCCCUUUUAUUCCCUCAUCCCAAGCUGUCCUUUGACUCAUCUUCCUCCAAGCAACCCCUGGGCAUGAUGGCCUCACCAGGAACAGCCACUUGUACACUCUGCCCCCCAUCCCAUAUCCACCACGCCUCCCAUAGAACUGGGGUCUCAGCCCUGCCUUCCUGUCUCUGUGGCUUCUGCACACAGUGCUUUCACUGGUCUGAUGAUUCUGUGCCAAAUGACCAUGGUGACAGCUUCAUUUAAAUGGCUUCAGUGCUGAGUGGAGUGAUUAAUAAGCUGGUGGAGCCCAGCAUCCACUUGUGGAAUUGAACUGCAAGGCUGAGUAGAAGGAAGUCUGCAAAGCACACCCUAAAAAAGCCCCUUGAAGGCUAGAAAUUCA
rnacentral:lncRNA from 1 species